CCAGGAAAGGAGCCAUCAUCACUGACCAGUGUGGAAGAGCAAGGGAGAGCCAACAUCACGAUGAAAAAGAUAGAAUAUUUCCAGAGAAGUGGAGGGACUUCUAUGUCUAUAGGACUGACAGGAAGGAGAGGAGUAUCCUGAUAUCAGACCCAAGAAUGGGCAUAUCACCUAUCCUACAGAGCACACAUGGAGUUUGGAUCUGGAAAUGGACUCCCUUAAAAUGAUCUGCACAUAAGGAUUCUUUAUAGAGAUUUUUCAACUACCCUUGGGGACAUGGUACCCUACACCCACAG